rnacentral:rRNA from 1 species
AGGUUGAUAGGUCAGAGGUGUAAGUGUGGCAACAUAUUUAGCUGACUGAUACUAAUAGGUCGAGGGCUUGACCAAU